rnacentral:piRNA from 1 species
UGAAAUGAUGCCAGGAUGUUACUGGAAUCC